ensembl:lncRNA
UUUUUUUGUUUUUUUGGUUUUUUUACUAGAACAUCUGAAUGUUUACCAAGGCAAAUAAUAAAUCCUCACAAUCUUAAUUAAAAUGGCAACAAGAAGCAUGCAAUAGAUGCUGGUUUUGAAUUUCCUUGAGACCACAUUUUUCCUGAUACUCUGUGGUUUAAAAACUAUUUAAUUUUGAAUGGCAGUAAAUUACUGAAGUUCUUGCAGUUCUGAUGCAUUCUCAGAUAUCAGCUUUAAGACUAUGUGGAUGUAUUCUACGUGAUGGAAUAUUUUGCACCUAAGGUUUUUAGCCCCUUUACUUUGGAGAGGACUAAAGCAGCAAAAGGAGAGCAUGCAUUUGGAAGUGUUAGAUGAUCCAGUGCAACGUCCUGUAAUAACAUCCUGUUAUGCUUGUCUGAAAUGAUUUGAUCUCUCUUUUUUGGGGGGGCUGGGGAGGUGGGGGAUGUGAAAUAGAUGUCAAGAAAUUAUCUUUCUUCAUUAGGCCAAAUGACUCUGGAAGAGUUAGCCUAGUCCAAAACCUGGAUUGACAGGUUAAAUAACUGCUUUGUUGCUCACAGUCAAUGACUAUGAGUUACACAUCACUUAAAGCAUGGCAAUAGUUUUAACAGAAUCUGUUUCCUGCUCAUACUCUCCCAUGCUGACUUUCAAGAGAAUGACUCCAUUAUGUAUCACAGGACAGGAAAUGACCAUAAACAUGGCAGAAGAGAAGAUGAUGUUAUUGCAGACUUUCACAUUUCUGGUAUGUUUAAUUUUCUUUGGCUGUAAAAAGGACAUUUUAGGUUUAAUCCAUGAGAGUAGGUUUGUAUAAAGUAGCGUUCUUGGGUUGUAGCUAGAGUCCUGUAUCAGACGUUAUGAGAGAUAAGAAAGAAUGACCUAAGAGACUUUUAAAAAAGUUUUUCUAAAAGUGUGCUACUUUUGGACAGGUCUAGGUAACAUGGCAGAUGAUCUGAUCCAACCAGAAUUACAGGGAUGAUAAAAACACAAUUUGCAAGCAAGAUAUGAAUGCCUAACAAGAUACAUGUGAUAAGAUUUGAUAGCAGUAGCAUUUAAGUAUUCCUUGCUUCCUUUUGAACCAAGUGGUAAAUAUUUAUCAUGUCAGAGCUGUAUCACUGAUCUUUAGUGUUUGACAGAGCAUGCCCACACAGCCACAUGAUGCUGUGUACGGCCAUGACAAUCCAUUGGCAGGAGGCUUUGCUCAGGAAAGUGUUCAAGCGUAAUGAAAGUGAAAUUGCUCCUAAAUGCAGUUGUGAGCUGCUAUUACAUCACUCUUUGGACUGUAUGAAGGGGUUGCCAGCAUAUACACUGUAAGUUUUCUGCUGUCCACCAGGACAAGAAAACCAUCUCAUCCUUUUUUGAUUUCCUUUGUCUUCCUUUAUAUGCAAUAUGGGUUUUUUUUGCAGAGAAACAAGAUUUCACUUUUUAAAUGUUUAUUUGUUUUUCUGGUUUAUUUUCUGCUGCUGAUUGUUAGUAGAAACACCAAAAAUUCACAACAAAAACAUUACAAGAAAGGGAAAAAAUAAAUUCUUCAUUUACUAAUAGUUCCUUCUUACAUUUGUGAAGAUGUAUAUACAAUGUAAAAAUACUGGGUUUAACUUUUAUCCUAGGUAAUUGUUUAUGAUAAUUUGUUUUCUUUCCCAUUAUAAACACUAGAUUUGUUUCUGGCACAUCUUUAUUUCUGGCACAUCUUUCCCUGUCUAGAAGGAUAUGUUGGAGACACACAGCACUCUCCUGAAAAGCAUGCAGUCUGUAUAUGUAAUAAAUUCUUCAUCAGCCCCAUUUAUAACUUUGGUUAUAGUGAAUAAUAUCACAUUUGCUCUGAAGUAAAAAGUUUAAUUAUACUCCUGCUUUAUAAGGAAAGCUUUGUAAACCUCUUCUAAUUACAGGCUGCUAAAUAUUAUCUAGCAUUGAAAUUUAUUCUACUUGAACAUAAAAAAUUUAUUUUCAUCUUUAUUGAAAAUUCCUGAAUUAUUUACUUAACUAAAGACUUGAAUGCUUAAGUAUAAGUGAAGCAAAGGAAGUAUUUUUCACACCAAAAUUUUCCUUUUAAAUGUGAGAAUUGUGUAUAAUUUUACACCAACAUUAAAAAGAGACCCACAUUAAUAUAAAGCCAGGUUCAAGACCAUGGAGUAGAAUUCUAAGUGUGAAACUUUAUAGUAGAUCCUUUGACAAAUUCAGCAAAACUGGAAUUUUAUCCUGAGGCUUUACCAUCUCAUUCAUGGUUAUGACCAUUUCAACUUUAAAACUCACAGAAGCUUGAGCUUGUUAUUCCUCUUUGUUUUGAAUGAUGGAGCAAAAUUACAGUCCCUGUGCUCCACAUUCAAUUUUUUCUAUUUUGCAGAAGUGCUAAGACUUCAAAGCAGAGAAGACUCAUGGGCAGGACUUUUUACCACAGAACUGCUGAAGAAAAUGCCAAUUUUUGAAGGGCUGGUUUCUGAAAAGGCAUAAUACUUCAGUAUUUUAUUCUGCAUUUUGUAGUUAAAGCUCUAAUCCUCCUACAAAUUCCCCAAAGCAUUUUUCUUGCAGGGUGGGGGAGGUUCAUUCUGGAAUGCUUUUUAAAAUACAGAUGUGUAUGAAGAAGUAUUUAAACUUGCAUGACCCAAGCAGGAAUGGGAGUUAAUUUGAAAACAGAGUGUAGCAUUUCAAAGCAUGGAAUGAUGUAAGUUUUCAGCACUGAACUUAGUCAUCAACCCUAUAAGUUGCCAUAUAGAUGAUCUUUCCAGAUCCAAAACCUUGCAAUGAGCCCAGGAUCCAGUUAAAAACUCUUCUUAAUGUGGAAGCUGAUCCUGCACAUGUUUCACAAGUUGGUCAUCAGCAAUCUAGGCCAUUAUGAAGAAUAAAGCCAGGCCCAUGGGUUUGGAUGUUAAAGGAGCUAAUGGAGCAGUAUGAGCUGCACGUGGUUUCUGACUCCAUUUGUUUAGGUGGGAAGGUGGUGCCGUGUUUGGCUCUUUGAAGGGACACACAGUAAACACUCUGGACAACUAAUGCACAACCCCAUACAGCUGUGAGUACUUUACAAGUCCUUGUGCAGGUGGUGGAGAGCAGCCUUCCCAGUUCAGGUUUCAUAGACCCUUUGGCCACCUUAUGGGACAUAUAAAUCUAGGAGCUGAGAGUGUUACGCAGCUUUCCACAUAUGCCAACAAAGGGUGAUAUACACUACCUGUUUUCUUUUGCUGCCUUUUCAUUCUUAAGCAAUACAUAAAUUGAUUGCUUUUUUUCCUUGUACAGUUGUUUAUGACAAGAUUCAGCUAUUCAACCUAUAGUGUAGAUUCAGAAGAAUUCCUUUCUCAGGGAGUUGUUCAAACUUGGGCCAGUGUAAACAUGGUAAGAAUCUCCCUGGACUACACUAGUGGAUUUAGUCUGGUUUUAUAUUUGUAGAGCAGAUGUUUUCUUGGAAGAAAUGGGCAGAAGUUCUAUCUCAAAAGCUUCAGCAGCAGUCAAGCUUUGAUAAUACAGUCCCUUCUUUCUUUGUUACGAAUGCCUGCCAAAAGAAAGGAAAGGGUUUCUUUCUUCUGAAUCCCAAGUACAUUAAUCUCUGAAGUGACUGGUCAGGACAACGUUGAAGUGUCAGAUCAUGGUAACUGAAUUAGAUUUUAGUGUAAUUGCUCAAUAUUACAUGUUGUUGAGGGAGAUGGGAGAGG